UACGGAGGGGACUAGCGUUGUUCGGAAUUACUGGGCGUAAAGCGCACGUAGGCGGAUUUGUAAGUCAGGGGUGAAAUCCCGGGGCUCAACCUCGGAACUGCCUUUGAUACUGCAAAUCUCGAGUCCGGAAGAGGUGAGUGGAAUUCCUAGUGGUAGAGGGUGAAAAUUCGUAGAUAUUAGGAAGAACACCAGUGGCGAAGGCGGCUCACUGGUCCGGUACUGACGCUGAGGUGCGAAAGCGUGGGGAGCAAACAGGG
rnacentral:rRNA from 1 species